rnacentral:lncRNA from 1 species
CUCGAACGGGAUGCCAAGCUCGGCAGUGAAGCGUGUGAGGUGGAGCUCGAGUGUGUGGCUGGACCCCGACGACAACAAUGCGGUCACCUUGAGGUUCGACAACGGCACUGAAGCGUGGCGCUACUGGUGCACGAGCUCCUACGGCGGCCAAUGGGCACCAAAGCUGAGCUGGCGUGAGCUGCUGGACGGAGUCACCGCAAGCCGCCACCACCGCGCCCGCACAGCUUUUGGCGGAGGACGGUGCGGCAACGCCGGCGUAGGUCAGCUCAAGCAGCGUGUACUCGAGCUCGACGCUGGUGGGGUCCUCAGCGUAGGCGAAAUAAGGGUAGGCGUUGACGAGGACAGCGAGCCGGUGCAGGCGUGGAAGUCAAGGAUGGGGCAGAGCAGCAAGAGGAGGUCCAGCAGCGCUGAC